CAAAACACCCUCAGUGCGAAUUUUAUUAUUCAACCUGGUCUUGGGCAGCGGAUGCUGGUGGUAAGUUCAACUUCCACCUGCGCCCUCCCUAAACUUGCUGCACGACCGCGAGCCCCCGUCCGGCCAGGUCAAUGGAGUGGUGUCACAAUCUUUCCAGAAAGCCUGCCGGUCGAACGCUCCGUGGCGUUAAACACAGACGUCCCCCCUCGGGGAGACCGAAG
rnacentral:misc_RNA from 1 species